UUAAAUUGAAGAGUUUGAUCAUGGCUCAGAUUGAACGCUGGCGGCAGGCCUAACACAUGCAAGUCGAGCGGUAG
rnacentral:rRNA from 2 species